rfam:Gossypium arboreum cultivar AKA8401 contig_1759_5, whole genome shotgun sequence.
AUGCAAAUGAUGAGGAUCAUUCCAGGUAUGAGAAGCUCGCCCAUUAACUGCGAGCGAUGUUUGCACCUCAUACUUCCAUGACUCUGAUGCAU